GUACUGCUGAAGAGUCCCAAACUAGUUGGACGAAUCAGCUGUCCAGUAC
rnacentral:hammerhead_ribozyme from 1 species